GCCUGGGAUAGCUCAUUCGGUAGAGCAUGAGAGUCUUAAUCUCAAGGUCACAGGUUCAAGCCCUGUGUUGGGCU